CCUACGGGGGGCAGCAGUGAGGAAUAUUGGUCAAUGGACGAGAGUCUGAACCAGCCAAGUAGCGUGAAGGAUGACUGCCCUAUGGGUUGUAAACUUCUUUUAUAUGGGAAUAAAAUGUUCCACGUGUGGGAUUUUGUAUGUACCAUAUGAAUAAGGAUCGGCUAACUCCGUGCCAGCAGCCGCGGUAAUACGGAGGAUCCGAGCGUUAUCCGGAUUUAUUGGGUUUAAAGGGAGCGUAGGUGGAUUGUUAAGUCAGUUGUGAAAGUUUGCGGCUCAAACGUAACAUUGCAGUUGAAACUGGCAGUCUUGAGUGCAGUAGAGGUGGGCGGAAUUCGUGGUGUAGCGGUGAAAUGCUUAGAUAUCACGAAGAACUCCGAUUGCGAAGGCAGUUCACUGGACUGCAACUGACACUGAGGCUCGAAAGUGUGGGUAUCAAACAGGAUUAGAUACCCGGGUAGUC
rnacentral:rRNA from 1 species